UUUGGGUGUAACCCGCACGCGUAAUGAAAGUGAACGUAGGUGAGAGCUUCGGCGCAUCAUCGACCGAUCCUGAUGUAUUCGGAUGGAUUUGAGUAAGAGCGUAAAGCCUCGGACCCGAAAGAUGGUGAACUAUGCCUGAAUAGGGUGAAGCCAGAGGAAACUCUGGUGGAGGCUCGCAGCGGUUCUGACGUGCAAAUCGAUCGUCAAAUUUGGGCAUGGGGGCGAAAGACUAAUCGAACCAUCUAGUAGCUGGUUACCGCCGAAGUUUCCCUCAGGAUAGCAGUGUUGUUCUUCAGUUUUAUGAGGUAAAGCGAAUGAUUAGGGACUCGGGGGCGCUAUAUAGCCUUCAUCCAUUCUCAAACUUUAAAUAUGUAAGAAGCCCUUGUUACUUAAUUGAACGUGGGCAUUCGAAUGUACCAACACUAGUGGGCCAUUUUUGGUAAGCAGAACUGGCGAUGCGGGAUGAACCGAACGCGGGGUUAAGGUGCCAGAGUGGACGCUCAUCAGACACCACAAAAGGCGUUAGUACAUCUUGACAGCAGGACGGUGGCCAUGGAAGUCGGAAUCCGCUAAGGACUGUGUAACAACUCACCUGCCGAAUGUACUAGCCCUGAAAAUGGAUGGCGCUCAAGCGUCCCACCCAUACCCCGCCGUCAGGGUAGAAACGAUGCCCUGACGAGUAGGCGGCCGUGGGGGUCAGUGACGAAGCCUAGGGCGUGAGCCC
rnacentral:rRNA from 1 species